CUGCGAUUUCAGCCGAAACCUCCCUUCGCUUAUAAUGCACCGCAUACCCCACGAGGGAGCCUGAGAACAGGCUGCCUUGAAAAGCGAGGUCCUCAUAGUUGGCCUGUAACCAUGGAAGCAGAUGCUGUUUUCCUCCACCCUGCUUACCUCUUUGCAGCCUGGAGCUGCUCCCUAUUGUUAAAAGGGGGGUACGCCUCGAUUCUUCUUCAUCAUGACCGAACUUGCCUCUUCUUCAAAGGGCAUGCUGCUGCAGGUCAUUGGUCUAGACUGUUUGCACGGUCCAGAGAGCAGCCUUGAUGUAACCCUGGCUCCGUCUGAGCCACACCACCAGCCGUGCAUCUGCAGACUGGAGGGGACAUUGGAGAUCCGUAUUUGAAAAGAAGUCUGUCUGAUUUUGCCAUUGUGCCUUUUCACUCAUCGAUCGAAUGAAUAUCGAACCUUCUGUCGUUGCGUGUGUGAAAUAGAUAGCUUAGCCAGCACUUUUGUGCCCAACCUGUGCUGUGGGCCAAAAGGUUUUCAUUUUAGUCUCAAGAAUUUUUCCCCCCUUUCUUGAAUUUUGUGCUGGCUUAAAUUAUUUGUGUGCCUUUAUCCAGCUGUUUUGGCUACUGCUUGCUAUACUUUUAACAGCAGGGAUUUUGUUUUGGUGUCAAAACGGAACUUUUUUUUUUUUCCCUGUCAUCUGUUUGUUUUUCUUUGUAGCUGUCUUAAGGUCUUUUUUUUUUUCUUUUUUUUUUGUAGCUUUGUAGGUUGAAGUGGUCUAACUUUUACUACACCCUAUAAAGCCGCACAUCUGAGUUGCCCUUUUAAGGGGGCGAUUUGAUGGUGUCUAUUAUUUAACAGGCUCAAGUACAGAAAGGUGAGCUUGAACCUCUCAAGGUGAUUUCAAUGAUUUAUAAGAGUUUUGAAUUGAAGGCCAUCAUAUGUCUUUAGAGAAGAAAGAAAAAGGUCUUGGAAGUUUAGGAGAGACUCCAUCUUCACAUCAUAUCUAUUUUGGCCUGGAAUGCCAGGGUUUCCAGUGGAAUACCAGAAAUCAACAGCUAUGUUUCCUUGACUUCUUUAUUUCUGUUUAACUUUUGAGAAAAUCAGUAGAAAAAUCUAAAUACUCUACCUUUUAAGACCAAAGUUAUUCAUAAGCAUUCAGUGUCAUUUUUUGUCUGAAGGUAAAAUAAUAUAUAUAUGUUUUUUCUGUGUUGAAGAGACUUUUAAAGAAUUAUUAUUCCUUUUUCUGUUGGAAGCAUUGAAUGUUAUUUAAAAGUACUUUGGUAGAUUUGAUGAAAUUCAAAGGAGGAACUAUUUGAGAACUACAUACUUAAAUAUCAAAACUUUAUGAAUAAAGUUCAUGUGUCAUAAAAAUAAAAAAAUCUGCACUAGAUGUUCUUAUAAUAUAUGUUACAUUGGUAAUGUUACUCUGACCUUUCCUUGGUUUCAAAUAUAAGGGAAACCCUGUCGAUAAGCAACACUGCUUACUAAUGAAAAAAUGUGUUACUGUGGUCUUAGAGGGGGAAAUAAAUCUCUUUUAAUUAAUGCCUCUGCAAAGUAAAUUCUCUAAGAAACUUAUUGCUAGAAUCCCUCUACUGGGCCGUUAUUUUUCAACUUCCAUUCAUAACUUAAAAUACAACAUAAUUAUUUUUGAUCUGUCACUGUCAAACGUUAGUAAAUUUCUAAUUUGCACACUCAUAAUCCCCAACUUCCAAUAGCUUGAGUUUGGACUCUUUGACUUAAAAAUGGUG
rnacentral:lncRNA from 1 species